rnacentral:tRNA from 1 species
GCGCUCGUAGCUCAACGGAUAGAGCACUUGACUACGGAUCAAGAGGUUGCAGGUUCGAAUCCUGCCGAGCGCACCA